GCCAAACCACAAAAACACUCUCCACAACUCUCUGUGUGCGCGCGAGAUAUAGAGAGAGGGGGGGCGUAGCUAGUUUUUGGUGGAUAGAGCGUCGGAGAAGGUAAUGAAAGCGUUUUAUCUAGCACUUAUUAUGUCAAUUUUGUUUCUCCAAAUUUGAUUCUAUAAAAUUUGUGUUCUCUCUCAUUUCCUUGCCAAAAGCGGUAAGAUCUGUGAAUUUGUAUCUCUUCAAAGCUUGACUUAUAAUUUUCUGUUUAGAUGUAUAAUAUUAUGGAUAUGUGUGGAAUUGGCAGCGGGGAAAUGAUCCAUUUAUUGUAGAAUACAAAUAGCAAUGAGUAGUGCUCCUAAAAGAUCUCAUGAAGAGAGUGUUCACUCAUCUUCUUCUUCAAAAUACCCACAUGAAGAAACAGGUGCAUACCCUAAGCUGGCAUCAGGGGUUUCAAGCGACUACCAUCCUUCUUCCUAUGAGAUAGCUGCAGAUGCCCGAAUUACAAAAAUUCCUCGUACUGAAUCUCGUGAUGGAGAUAGAAGAUCACCUUUACACUCAAUAUAUAGAGUGCCAUCGAGCUCCAAUGAUUUGCAUGUGGAUACUCAUUCAGUUGCUUCUGAAAUCAGGCUGGAAUCAAGAGAUUCCAAGGACAGCAGAGACUACAGGGUUGAAAGUCGAGAUUUGAGGACUGAAGCAAGAGACAUGCACAUCGAGCCAAAGAGGGAUUCCCUAAGUACCAAGAUUGAUAAGGAUUCGAGGUUUGAGAAUAGAGCAGAUGAUAAUAAAGAAAUAAAAUAUGACAAGGACACUUAUAAUGAUCCAAAGAAUGACAUGAAGAUGGAAAAGGAUGGAUUUAGCGUAGCAACUAGUCAAUUGAAUUGGAAGGAAUCAAAAGAAUACCACAGGGGAAAGAGAUAUUCUGAUUCCCCUGGUGGACAUGUGGAUCCUUGGCAUAUGUCGCGCGGUAACUCCCAAGGUGCAGUUGAGAUUGGAAAGGAAGGCUCAACCAUUGAAGAAAAGGAUUAUCCUGAAACACAUGAGGCUGUUGGUGAGAAUAGAGUUGAUUUAAAAGGUGAUGAUAAAUUUAAAGAUAAGGACAGGAAAAGGAAAGAUGUGAAACACCGGGAAUGGGGGGGAGACAGGGACAAAGAAAGAAUUGAUCGGAGGAGCAAUAUUCAAGUAGGUAAUAACAGUGGUGAGGGCAAAGAAUCAGCAAGGGAAGAGAGAGAAGCAGAGAGGUGGGAGAGGGAGAGGAAAGAUCUUUCCAAGGACAGAGAAAGGCAAAGGGAGAGAGAAAAAGACCUUACCAAGAGAGAAUCAUGGAAUGGAGUUGAGAAAGAGAGUUUGCACAGUGAGAAAGAGUUAGGGGAUGGAUCUGUUAGAGUGACAGAACAAGAAAAUCCAGUUUUGGAGCAGAAAAAACAGAAAGAUUUUGAUAGCUGGAAAAAUGUUGAUAGAGAAGCUAGAGACAGGAGGAAAGAAAGAGACCCUGACAUGGAAGGGGAUAAACCUGAGAAGCGCAGCAGGUUGUAUGACAAAGAAUCAGAUGAUGGAUGUGUGGAUGGUGAAGGUGCCACAGAAAGGGAAAGGGAAGUUUUUAACUAUGGAGUUCAGCAACGUAAGAGGAUGCUUCGGCCUAGGGGCAGCCCUCAAGUGGCAAAUCGUGAACCCCGUUUUAGGUCUCGUACCCAGGACAAUGAAGGAUCUCAAGGAAAAUCAGAGGUAUCCUCUGUUGUUUAUAAAGUUGGUGAAUGCAUGCAAGACUUGAUAAAGUUGUGGAAGGAGUAUGAGUCAUCCCAGACUGAAAAAAAUGGUGAAGGUACUCAUAAUGGUCCCACUCUUGAAAUUAGGAUACCAUCAGAGCAUGUUACUGCUACAAAUCGGCAAGUAAGAGGUGGCCAGCUAUGGGGGACAGAUAUAUACACAGAUGAUUCUGAUCUUGUUGCUGUUCUCAUGCAUACAGGUUACUGCCGCCCCACUGCUUCUCCACCUCCACCUGCUAUCCAAGAGUUAUGUGCUACCAUACGAGUGUUGCCUCCACAAGACAGUUACACUUCUAUGCUGAGAAAUAAUGUUCGUUCCCGUGCAUGGGGAGCUGGAAUUGGCUGCAGUUACCGUGUUGAGCGCUGCUGCAUUGUCAAGAAAGGAGGUGGAACUAUUGAUCUUGAGCCUUGUCUUACACACACAUCAGCAGUAGAACCCACACUUGCUCCUGUGGCUGUUGAGCGGACAAUGACUACAAGGGCUGCAGCUUCGAAUGCAUUGCGGCAACAGAGAUUUGUGCGUGAAGUUACAAUACAGUACAAUCUUUGCAAUGAGCCAUGGAUAAAGUACAGCAUAAGUAUUGUAGCUGACAAGGGUCUGAAAAAGCCCCUUUAUACUUCUGCACGUUUGAAGAAGGGAGAAGUUCUGUUUUUAGAGACACAUUCAUGCAGGUAUGAGCUUUGUUUUACUGGAGAGAAAAUGGCAAAAGCUACACCAUUGAUUCAUGGACAUGAGGAGACGGAGAAAUCUCAUAGUCACCACCCACACUCCUCAAAUGGUGAAAAAAGUGACCCUGAUAACAUCUUAAUUGAUGUAUUUCGGUGGUCGCGGUGUAAAAAACCCCUCCCGCAGAAGGUCAUGCAUUCAGUUGGGAUCCCACUGCCCCUUGAAUACAUUGAGGUAUUGGAGGAAAAUCUUGACUGGGAGGACGUGCAAUGGUCUCAAACUGGCGUUAGGAUUGCUGGGAAGGAAUACACCCUUGCAAGGGUGCAUUUUCUGUCUCCAAAUUAGCCGUAUCUUGUUUCUUAUUCAUGCUACAUCAAUUUAAAUCUUUGAGCUAAGAGGACUAGAAGACAUGGAAUUAGUAUGCAAUGCGACCAAGGUGGUGGGCGCAUUGAAAAUGGUAAAGGAAAUAGAGCAUAAUCUACAUCAAUUUAAAUUGUUCUUGGACGCACAAUGAUUGUCAUGUAUUUCCCAUUAUCAUUUAUCAGUAAAUUACCAAGCAAAUAACAUGGAUUAGAUUUAAGCAACUACCAUUUGAAAUUCUUUCCUAAUUAAUCACUUUUCUAAGAGUCG
rnacentral:misc_RNA from 1 species